rnacentral:lncRNA from 1 species
CUGUUUGGCUGGCGGAGUGACUGAAGGCUGCGGUGGAAGUGGUGGCGGAGGUGAUGGUCUAGGGGAAGAUUCCGGAACAACUAGCGGGGAACUUGUAGGAGCGCCGGACCAGGAGCGAAUCGUUCAUGGAACCUUGUUUGAACACACGGGCUUGUGCUUUUGGCAGAGAGAGUGAAGAUUGGCGAUCAUCCGGCGGAGCCACCGGAACUAGUAGCCCUGGAUCGUCUUCCUCUUCACAAUAGGACUCGAAUAUUUGUACGACUCGUUUCUGUUUGGUCAACAUUGGCCUGACGGAUCGACGGAUUUGGUCUUGAUCCGACGGCGGCGGAGGUGAAUAAGGGUCGAUUGGCCGUUCCAGCUCACUUCCGGGCGAAAUGAGACUACUGCUGGCGUCUUCCUCGGAGAGUCGGUGCCUAAGCCAGGAGCUGACCGAGACGGGCAACGAGUGGAGUAAAUCGCUGAGACUCAACGACCGACUUCCGUGAGAUUGCUGGCUGGGCUGUUGAGUUCCAGUCGAGGAAGAAGAGGAAACUCCGCCGGCUGCCAGCGAAGAAGAGGACGACCGUCUUGGCAAGAUGGGGCUGAUGCUGGAUGAAGAAUCUGCUGCAUUAUUCUGUUCAGCGACGGCGGGCGGUUCCGAUCCGAAAAAGAUGGAUGAAUCGCCCUUGCCGCCCAGCGAUGGCGGACUACUCCGACUGAUGCGCUCAUUCGUCUGCGUCAUUCCGGCCGCCGAGCCCAGCAAAGCGCCGUCCUCUUCCGAGUCUAAAUGACGCAACUCGAUAGGCAGUUCAUUAGACGGAUCGGUGGCCUCCAGCGCGGCGCAGCUCCAGGCUCCGUGUUGGUGCUCGAUGCUUUCACCCAAAGUGAACCACGAACGCCUGUGAUGGCCGUUACCUACCGCCCGUCUGGUGCUCGCUAAUUUCUACAUUUAUUCCAAAAAUCAAAUAAAUACUAGAAUUGAAAAGGAUUUGCGAAACAUUCGACUAAGAAUUGAUCCAAGCACUGCAGUUUCACUGCAGUGUGAAUCGAUCCUAGUAUAAUGAGAUGCUUUUGUCGCCCUCGUUAUUUUUCUGUCUUGUUGACGACACUACUCUCUUCUAUUUAUACGGCCCUAAGAGGAUGGGGGGAAUUGAUUUACUUGAAGUGCUUUGCGGACGAAACUGUAACAGGAGUCGCUGGGCGAUGAGAGGUCCGACGAGCUCUGGGAACUGCACGACGGGCGGUGAGGAUCGAACGACCUGCCUUUGUGAUGUGGACGGUGAUGUCUCCUCCUGGGCGGUGGCAAUUCUCCAUCGGCAGCAGUGGAAGGUCCGGCGACGGCAAGACAUCCGGAACAAUCGGACGGACACCUACUGUGAUGCACCCUGGAAUAGCAGGAAUCACUUUCGGAUGUUUGUGAAUAGGCGUGAUAAUGAGUGACAUCCUCGUCGGAUGUUGUCGUCGUCGUGGCGAUGGACUCGUGCUCGUUGCCUCCCACUUCCGCCUUCUCCUCGCUGCUGGAACGGUCGGGCGUCCGCCAUGGCACCAGAAUGUCUUGAGAUUCAAACUGCCCGUCCAACAACCAGCAAUUUGUGUCAAUGCAAUUGACGUCAUCAUCAAGGAUUUAACAAAAAUCGGAAAACGAAGGGGCCAUUAGGAGACGAUUCCAUUUGGGCGUACACAUCGCAACAUUUAUGGGAGACAGCCACCCAACAACAAAAGAAGAAGAAGAAGAAGAAAGCACGUCUGAAAAACAGCCGUUUUCCUUCUUCCCCCAAGAGACUACGCUGUGCGUCGUGAUGGAUCCAGCAGUCAAUAAAAAAGCCCAAACGGUGAUGAGGAUGCGUCCGCCCACUCGCAGGAUCCGCGCCAAUUCCCGCAACGCCCGCACUCGCCUGUCUCUCGUCGCCAG